rnacentral:rRNA from 1 species
AGAACGAACGCUGGCGGCAGGCUUAACACAUGCAAGUCGAACGGUUGUAGCAAUACAGCAGUGGCGCACGGGUGAGUAACGCGUGGGAACAUACCUUUCAGUUCGGAAUAACAGCGGGAAACUGCUGCUAAUACCGGAUAUUCUCCUCGGAGGAAAGAUUUAUCGCUGAAAGAUUGGCCCGCGUCAGAUUAGCUAGUUGGUGAGGUAAUGGCUCACCAAGGCUCCGAUCUGUAGCUGGUCUGAGAGGACGACCAGCCACACUGGAACUGAGACACGGUCCAGACUCCUACGGGAGGCAGCAGUGGGGAAUAUUGGACAAUGGGCGAAAGCCUGAUCCAGCCAUGCCGCGUGAAUGAUGAAGGCCUUAGGGUUGUAAAGUUCUUUUGCCAGGGAAGAUAAUGACGGUACCUGGAGAAUAAGCACCGGCUAACUUCGUGCCAGCAGCCGC